GGCAUUACAUGGGCGAGCCUGAUGCAGCGACGCCGCGUGAGGGAUGACGGCCUUCGGGUUGUAAACCUCUUUCAGCAGGGACGAAGCGCAAGUGACGGUACCUGCAGAAGAAGCACCGGCUAACUACGUGCCAGCAGCCGCGGUAAUACGUAGGGUGCAAGCGUUGUCCGGAAUUACUGGGCGUAAAGAGUUCGUAGGCGGUUUGUCGCGUCGUUUGUGAAAACCAGCAGCUCAACUGCUGGCUUGCAGGCGAUACGGGCAGACUUGAGUACUGCAGGGGAGACUGGAAUUCCUGGUGUAGCGGUGAAAUGCGCAGAUAUCAGGAGGAACACCGGUGGCGAAGGCGGGUCUCUGGGCAGUAACUGACGCUGAGGAACGAAAGCGUGGGUAGCGAACAGGAUUAGAUACCUGGGGUAGUCCAAAA
rnacentral:rRNA from 1 species